rnacentral:rRNA from 1 species
UGGGGAAUUUUGGACAAUGGGGGCAACCCUGAUCCAGCAAUGCCGCGUGUGUGAAGAAGGCCUGCGGGUUGUAAAGCACUUUAGGUGGGGAGAAAGACUGGAUUGUUAAUAGCAAUUUAGGUUGAUGUUACCCACAGAAUAAGCACCGGCUAACUCUGUGCCAGCAGCCGCGGUAAUACAGAGGGUGCAAGCGUUAAUCGGAAUUAUUGGGCGUAAAGCGCAUGUAGGUGGCUUGUUAAGUUUGAUGUGACAGCCCUGGGCUUAACCUGGGAAUUGCGUUGAAAACUGGCGAGCUAGAGUCGGACAGAGGGCCGUGGAAUUUCCGGUGUAGCGGUGAAAUGCGUAGAGAUCGGAAAGAACACCAGUGGCGAAGGCGGCGGCCUGGGUCCAGACUGACACUGAGGUGCGAAAGCAUGGGGAGCAAACAGG